CCCAUCUCAGGAUGGCACCUGGAGUCUUUCCAGUAUUCUACCAGUCUCGGCUUCAGGAGGGAAAGUCAAGCAGAGGCCUACCCAUUCCACUCCUAGCUUCGACAGUGGCUGGCAAGUGGAAGACAAUCUGCUACAAGU
rfam:Ornithorhynchus anatinus chromosome 2, whole genome shotgun sequence.